rnacentral:lncRNA from 1 species
UUUAACCACAGAGAGGCACAUAGGUCACAUUCUCACAACAAUGCCUUCAAAAUGAGAAGGCCCCGCCAUCUGCAAAGGAGCAUGGGUUUGCUUCCUAGAACUAUCCUGGUUUCCUAGAAAACAGAGCCUGAGGCAACGAUUAACGGACAGUCAUUUAUUUAAAGAUGAAAUCCCAAAAAAGCAAAGCAGAGAAGGACAGGAAGUGAAAAAAUAUAACAUGUGAAUGCACUGGCUUCUGCUUCAUAAGACCUCAUCGGAUAUACCUGCCUAGCCACAUGAGCAAUCUAUAGAAAGGAGGAAUGGUGGAAUUGUGCCUAGGAAAGUUCCAUCCACUGGAGAAAGUGAAAGGUGAUUUAUCUAUCUACUUUAUUCUUCUGUCUUUCAUUGGUCAAAGUUUUCUUCAGCUGGAUUUAACUUCAUCACAGUUUUAGGUUGAAUCAUCUGGGCUUUUUGGCAGCUACUUGAAAGGCAAAUCCAUGGCUUGCUGUGUGAUAUUUUAUUAGAAUCCAGAAGUAAUGAGAGAUAUCACAGACUCAAGAUGCCAUUGAUCUCAGAUGGGUGAAACCACUUCGGCUAGUAAGGAGUCGGUUAUCCACAGUGAUUGCUGGAGGAGGAGUAUUUCACCUGAGGCUCCAGGAGACAGUUAGGCCAAGACUACUUACAUAUUAAAAAUUACAUAAUAUGUACAUAUUACACUCAAAUUUAUGAGUGAUAAAUUCAACAAGCAGCAAACAGCCAAUAUUGAGGAAUCCUUCCAUAACUAAUAUUUAGACCUUUCAUAAUCUUAAGGUAAAUAAUGUUUGAUGAUGAUGAUCAAGUGCUACAGAAAGGAUUUGGGAAAGUUCAGAAGCAGAGGGCUGUAUUGUUAAGCCUCCUGACCACAUUGCAGAUUGAUGGAAAAGAGAUGUUUGCUCAUAAUUCAAGGCUAAAGACCAUAUAAUAGACCAGCGAAGAAGACAGCAAAGUGUUUGGAAAUACAGAUCAAGCCUCUUAGUUUGAAUAGAAUCAUUCAAGCUCUGACUGCGAAACCACAGACCUUGCCCGACAUAUUCAAUUUACUGAAAGAUGGGUAAGAGAAGGAAUAACUUUCUUAGAGCAUCAAGAGAGGAUAAAAAAGCAGAAAAGUAAUAAAAGCUACUAGCAAAGCUGUGCUCACAUACCAUGGCAGUGCUUCUCAAAUUUUAUGUG